GGAUGUGAGGGCGAUCUGGCUGCGACAUCUGUCACCCCAUUGAUCGCCAGGGUUGAUUCAGCUGAUCUGGCUGGCUAGGCAGGUGUCCCCCUCCUCCCUCACCGAUCCAUGUGCGUCCCUCCGGAAGCUGCGCGCUCGGUUGAAGAGGACGACCUUCCCCCCAGAGGAGAGGACCUGUCUUCGGUCAAGAGUAUACGAGUAGCUGCACUCCCCUGCUAGAACCUCCAAGGGGCAGCCCAAACUCAGAUCUAAAAUCAGCUUGUCGCCCAGCUGGAGUGGCUCAGU
rnacentral:snRNA from 1 species